GCGAUGUUCGUGUAAGGCGAACAUCGCUGCCCGGAAAGCAGAAGAUGCGGGUUCGAGUCCCGCCUGGCGCA
rfam:Heligmosomoides polygyrus genome assembly, scaffold: HPBE_scaffold0007348